GAUGAACGCUGGCGGCGUGCCUAAUACAUGCAAGUCGAGCGAAUGGAUUAAGAGCUUGCUCUUAUGAAGUUAGCGGCGGACGGGUGAGUAACACGUGGGUAACCUGCCCAUAAGACUGGGAUAACUCCGGGAAACCGGGGCUAAUACCGGAUAAUAUUUUGAACUGCAUGGUUCAAAAUUGAAAGGCGGCUUCGGCUGUCACUUAUGGAUGGACCCGGGUCGCAUCAGCUAGUUGGUGAGGUAACGGCUCACCAAGGCAACGAUGCGUAGCCGCCCUGAGAGGGUGAUCGGCCACACUGGGACUGAGACACGGCCCAGACUCCUACGGGAGGCAGCAGUAGGGAAUCUUCCGCAAUGGACGAAAGUCUGACGGAGCAACGCCGCGUGAGUGAUGAAGGCUUUCGGGUCGUAAAACUCUGUUGUUAGGGAAGAACAAGUGCUAGUUGAAUAAGCUGGCACCUUGACGGUACCUAACCAGAAAGCCACGGCUAACUACGUGCCAGCCGCCGCCGUAA
rnacentral:rRNA from 1 species